rnacentral:tmRNA from 1 species
GGGCGUGAACUGGUUUCGAUCCGGUAUUCCUGACACACGAGUGCGAGCCGUGGACGCCCGCUAGGCCACGUUAAAUCCUGUGGGUACACUAACCGCCAACGACAACGUUGCGGCACCAAUGCUCCGAGCGGCGUAGUAGAGCCAGGAGGGUUGGUCCGGACUGUCCUUCGGGACAGUCCCGUUAAACCCCUGAGAAGCUCCAGGUAAGGGGCGAGACGUUAUCUACAUGGGGCAGGGCCUCUGCCAAUCCCUUGGCGCGGAGCAGCUCGUAAGGACGGGGGAUCGCGGUCACCAGCCAGGGGACACUGGCAAACGCUCGUAGAACUUGGUCGAUGGGUAGCGGAGACCUGGGUUCGAUUCCCAGCACGUCCACAC